UAGGUUGCGAGCGUUGUCCGGAUUUACUGGGUGUAAAGGGCGUGUAGGCGGAGAUGCAAGUCAGGAGUGAAAUACCGGGGCUCAACCCCGGAACUGCUUUUGAAACUGUAUCCCUUGAGUGUCGGAGAGGCAAGCGGAAUUCCUAGUGUAGCGGUGAAAUGCGUAGAUAUUAGGAGGAACACCAGUGGCGAAGGCGGCUUGCUGGACGAUAACUGACGCUGAGGCGCGAAAGCGUGGGGAGCAAA
rnacentral:rRNA from 1 species